UUCUUUGUUAUCGAUGUUCACGCAUGCGCAAAAUAUAUAUGAUUUAGAAUCCAAUCAUUGGAAUGGCGAACUGACGUAAACAGUAUUAUUAAACUUUUUUAAUUAUAUAUAUUUCAAUUAUAAUUAUUUAUUAUUCUCUUAAUUAUUAAUAUUUGCAUUUCAAUUUCUUUCACUGAUUUGACAGUUUUAAAUAUUUUUAAUUAUUAUGAAUAUUGAAGAAAAGAAAAGCUAUAAUUGUUAUAUAAAAAGACUUUAAUUAUUCUGUAACGUGUGAAUUAUAAUCUCUAGAAGUAUAAUAAAAAGAUAUUAUUUCCAAUGUA